rnacentral:lncRNA from 7 species
ACGCUCUCCAACCCUUGUCGACCGUCGUUGUCCCUGCACUAGCUGCUAGGAUGAAGAAAACCAGUCCUAAGAAGAAGAAAAUGAAUCCUGACUUGGUCUAGAUUUUUAAUCAGUAUGUGUUAGAUGAAGAAAACUGAAUGUGUAUGUGAGUUUCUGUGUGCCGUCGGCUGCAUGUAUAUGCAAAACUGAAUAUGAAUGCGUUGCCUUUGUUAUUAUUCUUUGUAUGUCUAUGCAAAACUGAAUGCCGACUGCAUGUGUAUGCAAAACUGAGAGAACGUAUCUAGUGCACAUGGAAUUUUAGUGUACAUGAUGCACAUAUUAAAUCACCACCACUCAUCUUAGAUCUAACGUCUGUAUUUGUUUGGUAUAUUUGCUAAGGACAACCUCCGACGUGUUAGGCUGUAGUGGUAGAAAGUGUUAUUUGUAAAUUACAAUGAUCGAUCAAAGACGUUAGAUCUGAGAUGGAUAGUGAUGAUUUAAUAUGUGUAUCAUGUGCACAAAGCUUUCAUGUGCACUGGGUAUGUCCUCGCAAAACUGAAUGAAGAAUUUAUGUAAGGUUAUGCUAUUGUGACCUGAACUGUCUGCUUCUGUUAUUCUUUGCAUGUGUAUGUGAGGU